UGAGGAAUAUUGGUCAAUGGGCGAAAGCCUGAACCAGCCAAGUCGCGUGAGGGAUUAAGGCCCUAUGGGUCGUAAACCUCUUUUGUCAGGGAGCAAGGCCAUUCACGUGUGGAUGGUUGGAGAGUACCUGAAGAAAAAGCAUCGGCUAACUCCGUGCCAGCAGCCGCGGUAAUACGGAGGAUGCGAGCGUUAUCCGGAUUUAUUGGGUUUAAAGGGUGCGUAGGCGGGACCUUAAGUCAGCGGUAAAAUUGCGGUGCUCAACGCCGUAGAGCCGUUGAAACUGGGGUUCUUGAGUGAGCGAGAAGUAUGCGGAAUGCGUGGCGUAGCGGUGAAAUGCAUAGAUAUCACGCAGAACCCCGAUUGCGAAGGCAGCAUACCGGCGCUCAACUGACGCUGAGGCACGAAAGUGCGGGUAUCGAACAGGAUUAGAUACC
rnacentral:rRNA from 1 species